UACGUAGGGUGCGAGCGUUUGUCCGGAAUUAUUGGGCGUAAAGGGCUCGUAGGCGGUUUGUCGCGUCGGGAGUGAAAUCCACUGGCUUAACUGGUGGCUUGCUUUCGAUACGGGCAGACUGGAGGUAUGCAGGGGCGAACGGAAUUCCUGGUGUAGCGGUGAAAUGCGCAGAUAUCAGGAGGAACACCGGUGGCGAAGGCGGUUCUCUGGGCAUGUCCUGACGCUGAGGAGCGAAAGUGUGGGGAGCGAACAGG
rnacentral:rRNA from 1 species